rnacentral:lncRNA from 1 species
AACAAUUCUACUCACCAGUCAGGAUUACUAGCAAUGCAGCUGGAGCAUAAGAUUAUGAUUCUAUUACCGCAAGUUGAUUAUAAGAAACUAAGAUCUGCGCUUGAAAAUAAAGUUAAUUUAUCCUUGCGUUUGAGAGAGAGAGAGAGAGAGAGAGAGGGCGGUGGGACGGUCGUGCAGUGGUGGCAGAGUGGUGGCGGUGAGUGGGGGUGGGUUGGCGUGGGAUAUCAAUAUUUUGCGUUAGGUGUCACUUGAAAUGCAAGGCGUUGGAAAGCUCCAAAUCGUCAGCCGUUUA